AUUGAUAUUGGCGUGCGAACACUGCAAGUUUAUAGCAAGCAAAAUCUCAUUAUAACAGCACAAAAUAAGCAUGGACACUUGCACAUACAUGCUACAAUGCAAGCAGGCGCCAAAGGUAUGAUGGCUGUACUAAUUAUUAUAUAGAGGGCAUGCACAAUGAUCUAUAUAUUGAUCUGACAUGUGAACAAUUAAUAUAUAUCGGUGAUCCCUUGAGCCACAGUAGUCCUCGAGUUACUUAGAUCAGUUCCAGUAUUAAAGCACCUAGAAUCAAAAAAACUAUCAAAUUCAUUGUAAGCCCAAUCAAAGCUCUCAAGUCACUGUGUCCAAUAGUUCAGAGAUCACGAAUCAAUGAAUUAACCAUAUAAAUUUAGAAGAUACAACAGGAGCCAACUAUUACUUGAUGUUGACUAUCCCAACCAGUAGAAGCCUCCAACUUCUAUUGAAGAGGUCACAAAGAAAACAUUAGGGCCGAAAGUGGGCAUAGAUUGAAAUGAUCUCAGAAUGUAAUCAGAGUAAUUACAUAGGCUACCAUAAUCUAAAUGAUGGCCAUAUUAUACACCAUCAACCAGAAACAACAUGCAUAAGUAGACAUAACAUCUUGUUGUUCAUGCAUAACAUAUAGGAGAGAGGGGGAGAGUGACCUGAUCAGUGUGAAUAGU
rnacentral:misc_RNA from 1 species